rnacentral:misc_RNA from 1 species
GUACCCUCAAGCUCUGCUUGGUGUUGGGUGUUUGUCUGGGGGCGUUGCCCCGCGACUCGCCUGAAAACAAUUGGCAGCCAGGAUUUUGGUAUAGAAGCGCAGCACAAUUUGCGUCUCUAGCCGAUCAGACUGGCGUCCAUGAAGCUCUUUGUCACCU